AAAUUGCCUUAUGAAUUGAGAAGAAAUCAUUUAAGUGUUUAACACGUUUUGUUCCACGUGGAGCUUUGUUUUUUGACAAAACGUGGCACGGAACGUGUUAACAUGGAUUUUAGGACCUUUUUGUUGUCAUACCGCGUACGAGUCAUCGUGGAAGCAUUUAAACGAAAGAAAAAGUGUUUGAUACCAGUUCCACGGCCAUGGUGAUAUCUUUAAAUGUCCCGAGCGUGGAAGAUGCUCGUGUAGCAACCGUCUCUCAUGAAAUAUGGAGAAUAGCAAGGCACUUUGUGGAUACGAAGGCAACGCCUCCAAAAUACGAGGUGGAUGUUUCUUCACCGUUUGGUUGUGAAAGGAACUUUUGUUGAGCGAAUUUUCUUCUGCCAUCCAACCAGGACGACUAGUUCUACCGAUUUAAAGCGUUCAAUUGGAGAUGACCAGCACCGAUUGGUAUGCAAUCUUCAGAACCACCUGACUUACUGAUGCGAUUAUUUAGCUCUGCAAGAUCAGGCUUGGAAGGCACAAUGGUAUAAGGCGUAUUAUCCUUUGGUACCAAGGAAGGUGGCGGAAGCGGUAUGUGCGGG